rnacentral:misc_RNA from 1 species
AAGCUGUAAUGCAUAGACACUUGAAACAAUUUAUAUAAAAAGAAACUAACAAGGGCAUUCGAGUACUCAGGCUUCUAAGAGUCCGGGUAGGUUCAUCUACUGUACUAAUUCCAUCCCAAGAUAUUAAAAGGAAAAAAAAUCCUCCUCAGCUUUGGUAUGAAUACAUUCUAGACCAUAGUAUCCUUUAUAAAGAAUAAAAUCAAUAAGCAUGAUAGGAAAAGAAUCAAUAACCCAAAAAAAAAUCAACAGCAGGAUAGAACGAUGCUAAAAGUUCCCCUAAAUAGAGUAAAAGAUAUAGGAGAUGACACAAAACAAAUUAAAAAAGAAAAAAGAAAAGACAGAAGGCAAGCAAAUCACCAGAAUCAAUACAAAACAAAAAGGCCAAAGCAUCUCCCUCACAAACAUAUCAAGCAAAUCUUCAACCAUACCAACAUGCCUACAAUCCAUUAAUUAGGCUUAAAACCACUGUUAAAACCCACAAAAUAGUACCAAAUAUUUACCUAAAAAAAGAUUUUAACAAGAAACUUUAUUUUUUAUUUUAAUAUUUUUCUUGAUAUCUUCAAGCAGAUAGCCAUACAUCUAAAGCAACUCCGA